AAAUUGAAGAGUUUGAUCAUGGCUCAGAUUGAACGCUGGCGGCAGGCCUAACACAUGCAAGUCGAGCGGUAGCACAGAGAGCUUGCUCUCGGGUGACGAGCGGCGGACGGGUGAGUAAUGUCUGGGAAACUGCCUGAUGGAGGGGGAUAACUACUGGAAACGGUAGCUAAUACCGCAUAACGUCGCAAGACCAAAGUGGGGGACCUUCGGGCCUCAUGCCAUCAGAUGUGCCCAGAUGGGAUUAGCUAGUAGGUGGGGUAAUGGCUCACCUAGGCGACGAUCCCUAGCUGGUCUGAGAGGAUGACCAGCCACACUGGAACUGAGACACGGUCCAGACUCCUACGGGAGGCAGCAGUGGGGAAUAUUGCACAAUGGGCGCAAGCCUGAUGCAGCCAUGCCGCGUGUGUGAAGAAGGCCUUCGGGUUGUAAAGCACUUUCAGCGGGGAGGAAGGCGGUGAGGUUAAUAACCUCAGCGAUUGACGUUACCCGCAGAAGAAGCACCGGCUAACUCCGUGCCAGCAGCCGCGGUAAUACGGAGGGUGCAAGCGUUAAUCGGAAUUACUGGGCGUAAAGCGCACGCAGGCGGUCUGUCAAGUCGGAUGUGAAAUCCCCGGGCUCAACCUGGGAACUGCAUUCGAAACUGGCAGGCUAGAGUCUUGUAGAGGGGGGUAGAAUUCCAGGUGUAGCGGUGAAAUGCGUAGAGAUCUGGAGGAAUACCGGUGGCGAAGGCGGCCCCCUGGACAAAGACUGACGCUCAGGUGCGAAAGCGUGGGGAGCAAACAGGAUUAGAUACCCUGGUAGUCCACGCCGUAAACGAUGUCGAUUUGGAGGUUGUGCCCUUGAGGCGUGGCUUCCGGAGCUAACGCGUUAAAUCGACCGCCUGGGGAGUACGGCCGCAAGGUUAAAACUCAAAUGAAUUGACGGGGGCCCGCACAAGCGGUGGAGCAUGUGGUUUAAUUCGAUGCAACGCGAAGAACCUUACCUGGUCUUGACAUCCACAGAACUUUCCAGAGAUGGAUUGGUGCCUUCGGGAACUGUGAGACAGGUGCUGCAUGGCUGUCGUCAGCUCGUGUUGUGAAAUGUUGGGUUAAGUCCCGCAACGAGCGCAACCCUUAUCCUUUGUUGCCAGCGGU
rnacentral:rRNA from 1 species